rnacentral:rRNA from 1 species
GAUGAACGCUGGCGGCGUGCCUAAUACAUGCAAGUCGAGCGAACGUACGAGAAGCUUGCUUUUCUGAUGUUAGCGGCGGACAGGUGAGUAAAACGUGGAGAACCUAGCUAUAAGACUGGGAUAACUUCGGGAAACCGGAGCUAAAACCGGAUUAUAUUUUGAACCGCAUGGUUGAAAAGUGUAAGACGGUCUUGCUGUCACUUAUAGAUGGAUCCGCGCUGCAUUAGCUAGUUGGUAAGGUAACGGCUUACCAAGGCAACGAUGCAUAGCCGACCUGAGAGGGUGAUCGGCCACACUGGAACUGAGACACGGUCCAGACUCCUACGGGAGGCAGCAGUAGGGAAUCUUCCGCAAUGGGCGAAAGCCUGAUGGAGCAACGCCGCGUGAAUGAUGAAGGUCUUCGGAUCGUAAAACUCUGUUAUUAGGGAAGAAGAUAUGUGUAAGUAACUGUGCACAUAUUGACGGUACCUAAUCAGAAAGCCACGGCUAACUACGUG